rnacentral:tRNA from 1 species
CCGACCUUAGCUCAGUUGGUAGAGCGGAGGACUGUAGUGGGUAACAGCCUGACAGAUAUCCUUAGGUCGCUGGUUCGAAUCCGGCAGGUCGGA